GGAGGAAAGCAGGGGAUCGUAAGACCUAGCGUUGAUGGAGCGGCCGAUAUCUGAUUAGCUAGUUGGUGGGGUAAGAGCCUACCAAGGCGACGAUCAGUAGCUGGUCUGAGAGGACGACCAGCCACACUGGAACUGAGACACGGUCCAGACUCCUACGGGAGGCAGCAGUGGGGAAUUUUGGACAAUGGGGGCAACCCUGAUCCAGCCAUUCCGCGUGAGUGAAGAAGGCCUUCGGGUUGUAAAGCUCUUUCGCAAGGGAAGAAAACUCGAUCUCUAAUAUAGGUUGAGGCUGACGGUACCUUGAUAAGAAGCACCGGCUAACUACGUGCCAGCAGCCGCGGUAAUACGUAGGGUGCGAGCGUUAAUCGGAAUUACUGGGCGUAAAGCGUGCGCAGGCGGUUUUGAAAGUCAGAUGUGAAAUCCCCGGGCUCAACCUGGGAACUGCGUUUGAAACUACAAAGCUAG
rnacentral:rRNA from 1 species